rnacentral:lncRNA from 10 species
CGUCAUAGGCCCGGACUCGCGUGAGUGCGCGUGCGUUGGGGCCUCAGCCUUUAUCUCCACUCUGCGGAGAUUCACGCCUGGAAAACGCUCUUCUGAGAGGAUCUGUGGAGGUCAACCCAGGAGAGAGAAGACAGGACUGAAGCACUGAAAGGGUCCUGCCGUUAAGGGCGCAGGAUUGUAUAGAAUAUAUAAUAGCAGUAGCAGCUCUGUUUACGGAGCAUUAACCUUACGUGGAGUUAUUUCCUGCAUUUCCUCCUUUCGUCUUUACAAGGUAGCCGUUUGGCGUCGUGAGCGGAAAGUGACCAGAAGAGGUGUGCAGUUUCCAGGCCUGGCCCAUACAGACCUCCAACAGGUGCUCCCCUGUGCUGUUACUCCUUCUGCCAACUGGAAGCAGAUGGUGACCAGGCUCUGGAGAAGGCAAGGCCUGAAGAUGGGAGAUUCCUAAGUGGAGGAGAACUGUGCCUUACUGACCUAAAUAUCCACUCAGUAUUGUUAUGUGAGAAUAAAUAAACUUGUG